UCGGGAAUUUUGGGCAAUGGGCGAAAGCCUGACCCAGCAACGCCGCGUGAAGGAUGAAGUAUUUCGGUAUGUAAACUUCGUAAGAAUAGGAAGAAUAAAUGACGGUACUAUUUGUAAGGUCCGGCUAACUACGUGCCAGCAGCCGCGGUAAUACGUAGGGACCAAGCGUUGUUCGGAUUUACUGGGCGUAAAGGGCGCGUAGGCGGCGUGGUAAGUCAUCUGUGAAAUCUCCGAGCUUAACUCGGAACGGUCAGAUGAUACUGCUGUGCUAGAGUACAGAAAGGGCAAUCGGAAUUCUUGGUGUAGUGGUGAAAUGCGUAGAUAUCAAGAGGAACACCUGAGGCGAAGGCGGGUUGCUAGGCUGAUACUGACGCUGAGGCGCGAAAGCUAGGGUAGCAAACGGGAUUAGAUACCCAUGUAGUCCCUGAGCGGGCUGGCAAGGCGCAU
rnacentral:rRNA from 1 species